rnacentral:tRNA from 1 species
UCUUGUUUAGCUCAGUUGAUAGAGCGCUCUACGAGAAAUGGAGAGGUCCUUGGUGCGAUACCAGGAACAGGCA